GAUGAAGAACGCAGCGAAAUGCGAUAAGUAGUGUGAAUUGCAGAAUUCAGUGAAUCAUCGAAUCUUUGAACGCACCUUGCGCCCUUUGGCCAUUCCGAAGGGCAUGCCUGUUUGAGUAUCAUGAACACCUCAACUCUUCAUGGAUUUCCAUGAUGAGCUUGGACUUUGGGGGUCUUGCUGGCCUGUGGGUCGGCUCCUCUCAAAUGAAUCAGCUUGCCGGUUUUUGGUGGGCAUCACAGGUGUGAUAACUAUCUACGCUUGUGGUUUUCCACCAGGGUAACCUUCAGCAGUGGAGGUUCACUGGAGCUUACAAAUGUCUCUCCUCUGUGAGGACAGCCCUUUGAAUGUUUGAUCUCAAAUCAGGUAGGACUACCCGCUGAACUUAAGCAUAUCAAUAAGCGGAGGA
rnacentral:misc_RNA from 1 species